rnacentral:rRNA from 1 species
UAGCAUAAAUAGUUAAAAAUGGAAGAUGGCCAGAAGAGUGAAUUUUUGUAGUAUGGGUAUAGAAAUGAAAUAGAGACUAUAGAGUAUAAGUACUGAAAAGGAAUUUUUGAAAUAGGUGAAAAAUUUUUAUUGGUAAAGUACUUUUAAAAACGGGUACCUUUUGUAUCAGUGUUUAUUAAAUUUUAAUAGUAAAUAAUUAAAUGCCGAAAGAGAAAGAUCUAGGGGACAGCGCUAGUUCUUGUGUCAACAAGAUUAGGAAUUGUUUCUUAGGGAUGAGAUGUUAAUCGAUUUUUCUGUUAUCUGCUUACUUUUGAAAUGAAUUUAGUUCAUUUUGAUAAAGGAGGAUUCUUAUUUUUUGUUUGCUCUUUUUUCAAGAAUAUUUUUUAGGGGAUGAGCUCUAAAAAUUUUUCUAAAAAAAUUUUAUUUUACGUGUUUUAGAUAGGCUUAGAAUUGGCUGUGUGAUAGUGUUGUAAGAUAUAAUAUUGGUGUGAAUGAUUUAUUUUGUUUUUAGAGGUAAAAAAAGUUGUUUUCGGAAAUUACUUAGGAAUGGCAAAAAUGAUAAAAUUAGUAGAAUAAGUAAUUAGGACGGGGUUAAAAUUUUGUCUUAAUAUAUUGAAAUUAUUUAAAACAUAGUAAAGGAACUCGGCAAAUAAAAUUUCCGACUGUUUAACAAAAACAUUUCCUCUUGGUAUAAGAGGUAAGGCCUGCUCACUGACUAGGUUGAAGAGCCGCAGUAUAUUGACUGUGCUAAGGUAGCAUAAUCAUUAGUCCUUUAAUUGGGGACUGGUAUGAAUGGCUAAACGAGAAAUUAGCUUUCUUUGUUAUGGUUUGUUGAAUUUAACUUGUAAGUGAAAAGGCUUACAUGAUUCAGAAAGACGAGAAGACCCUAUAGAGUUUUACAAAGGCCUAAAAUACAGCUUAUUAGUUUUUAAGGGUUAUAUUUUGGAAAUUUGUUUGGUUGGGGCGACAUAAAGAUAAAAAAAACUCUUUGUAGUAUAAACUUUGGUGGAAGAAAAAGGUUUGAUCCUCUAAAAGGGAUUAUAAGAAAAAAUUACCUUAGGGAUAACAGCGUAAUCUUCUUUUAGAGUUCAAAUCGACAAGAAGAUUUGCGACCUCGAUGUUGGACUAAAAUUUGGGCAAGGUGCAGCAGCUUUGUUUUUGGGUCUGUUCGACCCGUAAUAUUUUACAUGAUCUGAGUUCAGACCGGCGUGAGCCAGGUUGGUUUCUAUCUUCUGAGAUUUAAGGUUUUGAUUUAGUACGAAAGGAUUGAUCAAAAGUAAGAUUUAUAAAUUGAAUGAGUAAUAGUAACAGGGAAAACAA